GUUUGAUCCUGGCUCANAACGAACGCUGGCGGCAUGCCUAACACAUGCAAGUCGAACGAUGCCUUCGGGCAUAGUGGCGCACGGGUGCGUAACGCGUGGGAAUCUGCCUCUUGCUUCGGAGUAACAGUUAGAAAUGACUGCUAAUACCGGAUGAUGUCUUCGGACCAAAGAUUUAUCGGCAAGAGAUGAGCCCGCGUAGGAUUAGGUAGUUGGUGGGGUAAAGGCCUACCAAGCCGACGAUCCUUAGCUGGUCUGAGAGGAUGAUCAGCCACACUGGGACUGAGACACGGCCCAGACUCCUACGGGAGGCAGCAGUGGGGAAUAUUGGACAAUGGGCGCAAGCCUGAUCUAGCGAUGCCGCGUGUGUGAUGAAGGUCUUAGGAUCGUAAAGCACUUUCACCAGGGAUGAUAAUGACAGUACCUGGAAAAGAAACCCCGGCUAACUCCGUGCCAGCAGCCGCGGUAAUAAGG
rnacentral:rRNA from 1 species